rnacentral:rRNA from 1 species
UACGAAGGGUGCUAGCGUUGUUCGGAAUUACUGGGCGUAAAGCGUACGUAGGCGGCUAUUCAAGUCAGAGGUGAAAGCCCAGGGCUUAACCCUGGAAUUGCCUUUGAGACUGGAUAGCUUGAGUAUGGGAGAGGUUAGUGGAAUUCCAAGUGUAGAGGUGAAAUUCGUAGAUAUUUGGAAGAACACCAGUGGCGAAGGCGGCUAACUGGACCAUUACUGACGCUGAGGUACGAAAGCGUGGGGAGCAAACAGG